rnacentral:rRNA from 1 species
AUCUAUGGCCUUGCCAUCCUAAACAAACCUGAUCCCAUCUGAUCUCAGAAGCCAAGCUGGGUCGGGCCUGGUUAGUAUUUGGAUGGGAUACCACCUAGGAAGACCAGGUGCUGUAGGCG